rnacentral:rRNA from 1 species
AUGAACGCUAGCGAUAGGCUUAACACAUGCAAGUCGAGGGGCAGCGAGGGUAGCAAUACCUGUCGGCGACCGGCGCACGGGUGAGUAACGCGUAUGUAACCUGCCCGCAACAGGGGGAUAACCCGGCGAAAGUCGGACUAAUACCGCAUAAAACAGGGGUCCCGCAUGGGAAUAUUUGUUAAAGAUUUAUCGGUUGCGGAUGGGCAUGCGUACCAUUAGGUAGUUGGUGAGGUAACGGCUCACCAAGCCUUCGAUGGUUCGGGGUUCUGAGAGGAAGGUCCCCCAGACUGGUACUGAGACACGGACCAGACUCCUACGGGAGGCAGCAGUGAGGAAUAUUGGUCAAUGGGCGAGAGCCUGAACCAGCCAAGUCGCGUGAAGGAGGACUGCCCUAUGGGUUGUAAACUUCUUUUACAAGGGAAGAAAAUGAGAUACGUGUAUUUUAUUGCAUGUACCUUGGGAAUAAGCAUCGGCUAACUCCGUG